rnacentral:rRNA from 1 species
GACGAACGCUGGCGGCGUGCUUAACACAUGCAAGUCGAACGGAAAGGCCCUGCUUGCAGGGUACUCGAGUGGCGAACGGGUGAGUAACACGUGGGUGAUCUGCCCUGCACUUCGGGAUAAGCCUGGGAAACUGGGUCUAAUACCGGAUAGGAGCCAUAUUUAGCGUGAUGGUUGGAAAGUUUUGUCGGUGUUGGAUGAGCUCGCGGCCUAUCGGCUUGUUGGUGGGGUAAUGGCCUACCAAGGCGGCGUCGGGUAGCCGGCCUGUGGGGGUGGACGGCCACCUAGGGACCGAGGUGCGGCCCAGACUCCGACUGGAGGCAGCAGUGGGGAAUAUUGCACAAUGGGCGCAAGCCUGAUGCAGCGACGCCGCGUGGGGGAUGACUGCCUUCGGGUUGUAAACUCCUUUCGCUAGGGACGAAGCUUUUUGUGACGGUACCUAGAUAAGAAGCACCGGCUAACUACGUG